rnacentral:rRNA from 1 species
CCCUUAGAUGUUCUGGGCCGCACGCGCGCUACACUGAUGCAUUCAACGAGCCUAUCCUUGACCGACAGGUCCGGGUAAUCUUUGAAUCUGCAUCGUGACGGGGAUAGAUUAUUGCAAUUAUUAAUCUUCAACGAGGAAUGCCUAGUAGGCGCAAGUCAUCAGCUUGCGUCGAUUACGUCCCUGCCCUUUGUACACACCGCCCGUCGCACCUACCGAUUGAACGUUCCGGUGAGACCUUGGGAUUUGGUCUUUGGUACUUUAUUGUGCCGUUGACCGAAAAACUUGAGCAAACCUUAACGUUUAGAGGAAGGUGAAGUCGUAACA